CCUACGGGUGGCAGCAGUAGGGAAUAUUGCUCAAUGGGGGAAACCCUGAAGCAGCAACGCCGCGUGGAGGAUGAAGGUUUUGGAUUGUAAACUCCCUUUGUUAGGGAAGAUUAUGACGGGAUCCUAAGAAAUAGCACCCGCUUACUUCGUGCCAGCAGCCGGGGUAAUUCGGAGGGGGCAAGCGUUACUCGGAAUCACCGGGCGUAAAGAGUGCGUAGGCGGGGUAAUAAGUCAGAUGUGAAAUCCUGUAGCUUAACUACAGAACUGCAUUUGAAACUGUUACUCUGGAGUGUGGGAGAGGUAGGUGGAAUUCUUGGUGUAGGGGUAAAAUCCGUAGAGAUCAAGAGGAAUACUCAUUGCGAAGGCGACCUGCUGGAACAUUACUGACGCUGAUGCACGAAAGCGUGGGGAGCAAACAGGAUUAGAUACCCGAGUAGUC
rnacentral:rRNA from 1 species